AUGGUAACAGGCAAGACAAGUCACCCAUUUAAGUAAAUUGCCAACACAAAUCAAGCCUACAUAGAAGCCAGUGUACAUCACUCCAUUUCCACUCGCACUGCAUUUGGAGUAUAAACAUGGCAUCCUUGUCGCAAGACCGAAGACCAAGAACAUUAACAUCAACCAGAGGUCACGCUUCUCAUGUCCUUUUCUAUACCAACCUGAAAGAGACAGAGCAUCUCCUCCGUAGAUGCCUUGACCAUCUUCGUCUUCUUCCAAGACCGAAACAACCAAACCCAUGUUCCAUCCGGAGCUCCACUUACUAUACUUUGCAGUCAGAACUAUAAAUAGAGUACAUUGCAUCAGAAGAGUCAGAGGCACUACCACGUUGAAUAGACCCGUUGGUUGGUAGUGGAACCCUUUGUAUUCGCGUGAGAGAUAAGGAAUGGAUACGUAGUUGGUUGAACCAGAGAGAAACUGAAGAAAAAAGAACAAGAAAAAGAAAAGAAAAACUGAGGUUGACCAAAGGAGGACAUAGAGAGAUGUGAUCAGACAACCUCCUACUCUGUUCUGACAUAUUUUGAUAGAUCUCUCUACCAAAUAAAGCAGCCCUAACGGCUCUUCCUUGGAUGUGUAAACAAUCGAAGAUGCUGCAACGAUCGUGGUGGUGGUAAGAAGGUCAAGAAUGGUGUAGGGGAAGAAGUAGAGCAGAAAUGUCUGGAUCAGCCAUGAAAUCAGAUCAUUCUUUUUCUCUGAUAUGAGAAUCAGAUCAUUUUCCGGCAAGUCUUCUCCCAGAAUGAGUAGUUUCCAGAGGAAUUGGGAAGUGAGAUAGACGGUGGUUUGGAGGGAGAGCUCAAAGAAGAUCAAGAAAAAAAACAGUGGGAGAGAGCAGAGGCAUAGGAAGAGCAAGAGAUUGAUGUUACCAAAGAGUAGCUUAAGAGCUCGUUUUAGUAGUUCGAUGACACUUAGCUUCUCUUCGCUAUUCGUCUCCAUUUGUUGAUCUCUUUCUCACAAUUGAAGUAGAAG
rnacentral:lncRNA from 1 species